rnacentral:rRNA from 1 species
UAUACGACCGUACCGCAAACCGACACUGGUGCGCGAGAUGAGUAUUCUAAGGCGCUUGAGAGAACUCAGGAGAAGGAACUCGGCAAAUUGACACCGUAACUUCGGAAGAAGGUGUGCCCUAUUAGUGUGUAGUGAACAACGAAGCAUGAAUGGGUUGCAAAAAAUCGGUGGCUGCGACUGUUUAUUAAAAACACAGCACUCUGCAAACACGAAAGUGGACGUAUAGGGUGUGACGCCUGCCCGGUGCUGGAAGAUUAAAUGAUGGGGUGCAAGCUCUUGAUUGAAGUCCCAGUAAACGGCGGCCGUAACUAUAACGGUCCUAAGGUAGCGAAAUUCCUUGUCGGGUAAGUUCCGACCUGCACGAAUGGCGUAACGAUGGCCACACUGUCUCCUCCUGAGACUCAGCGAAGUUGAAAUGUUUGUGGUGAUGCAAUCUCCCCGCGGAAAGACGGAAAGACCCCAUGAACCUUUACUGUAGCUUUGUAUUGGACUUUGAACAGAUCUGUGUAGGAUAGGUGGGAGGCUUUGAAGCAGGGUCGCUAGAUCUUGUGGAGCCAACGUUGAAAUACCACCCUGGUGUGUUUGAGGUUCUAACCUAGGUCCAUUAUCUGGAUCGGGGACAGUGCAUGGUAGGCAGUUUGACUGGGGCGGUCUCCUCCCAAAGCGUAACGGAGGAGUUCGAAGGUACGCUAGUUACGGUCGGACAUCGUGACGAUAGUGCAAUGGCAUAAGCGUGCUUAACUGCGAGACUGACAAGUCGAGCAGAUGCGAAAGCAGGACAUAGUGAUCCGGUGGUUCUGUAUGGAAGGGCCAUCGCUCAACGGAUAAAAGGUACUCUGGGGAUAACAGGCUGAUACCGCCCAAGAGUUCAUAUCGACGGCGGUGUUUGGCACCUCGAUGUCGGCUCAUCUCAUCCUGGGGCUGUAGCCGGUCCCAAGGGUAUGGCUGUUCGCCAUUUAAAGAGGUACGUGAGCUGGGUUUAAAACGUCGUGAGACAGUUUGGUCCCUAUCUUCCGUGGGCGCUGCAGAUUUGAGGAAGCCUGCUCCUAGUACGAGAGGACCGGAGUGGACACACCUCUGGUGUAUCGGUUGUCACGCCAGUGGCAUUGCCGAGUAGCUAAGUGUGGAAGAGAUAACCGCUGAAAGCAUCUAAGCGGGAAACUCUUUUCAAGAUGAGAUCUGCCGGGGCCUUGAGCCCCCUAAAGAGUCGUUCAAGACCAGGACGUUGAUAGGUCAGGUGUGGAAGCGAAAAGA